rnacentral:sRNA from 1 species
GGCAGCGAGAGGCCCGCGCUGAGGCGGCGCAGCGCAAAGGGGCGGACGCUGAGGGCGGCCAGGGCGCGGCCGGCCGCGGGGAACUCUAGGCGCAGCGUGACGGCGGCGUGCAGCCCCACGGCCGGGCUGUAGCGCGUGAGCUCCACGAACACAGCACGGCUCCUGCGCAGAGGGUGCGGGGUCUGGCUGGACUAAAGGCAAAACUAAAGCCCAGAAGACAGACCAGUGCACCGGAUGCCCGUACCGCGUGAUGGCUAGGAAAGCCCGGCUGUGCAGUUCCUGCUUGAUGGCGCUCUGCAGACGGAGCCAGUGAACACCGAGGCUUUACCACUGCAUCAGGGCACCAUGCUGAUGUGCCCAGUCCCAGAGCUGCUAGAGAAGAGGUAUAGAGGCAGUGAAGACGCAUUGAGGGGGAGGACGAGACCAACUGCGACACACCGGGACGCUCUCCUGUACCUGCGCCCUCAUCAGCCCAUCACCUAAAGAACGGCCUGACCCAAGGUCACACUGCAUUGAAUGCUUCCUGUUUUGCUGUCUCUCGGAGGAUAAAAGACACUCUUGGCUGGGCACGGUGGCUCAAGCCUG